UACGUAGGUGGCAAGCGUUGUUCGGAAUUAUUGGGCGUAAAGGGCGCGUAGGCGGCAUGUUAAGUCGGCUGUGAAAAGCCCCGGGGCUCAACCCCCGGAGGGUCGGCCGAUACUGGCAAGCUAGAGUACAGAAAGAGGGUAGCUGGGAAAUUUCCCCGGUGUAGCGGUGAAAAUGCGCAGAUAUCAGGAAAGAAACACCCCGUGGGCGAAAGGGCGGGCUCUCUGGGGGAACGGGUACUGACGCUGAGACGCGAAAAGCGUGGGGGAGCGAAACAGGG
rnacentral:rRNA from 1 species